UACGGAGGGGGCUAGCGUUGUUCGGAAUUACUGGGCGUAAAGGGUGCGUAGGCGGCGUGCCAAGUCGGGCGUGAAAGCCCUGGGCUCAACCCGGGAAUUGCGUUCGAGACUGGCAUGCUGGAGUCCGGGAGAGGAUGGCGGAAUUCCCAGUGUAGAGGUGAAAUUCGUAGAUAUUGGGAAGAACACCGGUGGCGAAGGCGGCCAUCUGGACCGGCACUGACGCUGAGGCACGAAAGCGUGGGGAGCAAACAGGAUUAGAAACCCCCGUAGUCC
rnacentral:rRNA from 1 species